rnacentral:rRNA from 1 species
GACGAACGCUGGCGGCGUGCUUAACACAUGCAAGUCGAACGGAAAGGCCCCCUUCUUGGUGGGGGUGCUCGAGUGGCGAACGGGUGAGUAACACGUGGGUGAUCUGCCCUGUACUUCGGGAUAAGCUUGGGAAACUGGGUCUAAUACCGGAUAGGACCAUGGUUUAGUGUCUCAUGGUGGAAAGAUUAUUGUUUUGGUGCAGGAUGAGCUCGCGGCCUAUCAGCUUGUUGGUGGGGUAAUGGCCUACCAAGGCGUCGACGGGUAGCCGGCCUGAGAGGGUGGACGGCCACAUUGGGACUGAGAUACGGCCCAGACUCCUACGGGAGGCAGCAGUGGGGAAUAUUGCACAAUGGGCGCAAGCCUGAUGCAGCGACGCCGCGUGGGGGAUGACGGCCUUCGGGUUGUAAACUCCUUUCGUUAGGGACGAAGCCGCACUUUUUUUGGGUGUGGUGACGGUACCUUUGUUAAGAAGCACCGGCUAACUACGUG